AAAACUUUGCCUACUAUUUACAAGAUUUUUCUUGAAAUAAAUAAAUACUAGCCUAACAAGACUAGCCUAAUACUACACUUUUCUUGAAAUAAAUACUACCCUAACAUGACAAACACUUUUCUUGAAAAAUACUAGCCUAAUAAGACUAAAAUACUAGCCUCAAGACUAAACUAAAAUACUACAUUUUUUGAAAAUUACUAGACUUUUUACAAAAAAACUCUUUUAGUCUUCAUUUUGCUCUUUGUCUUCUUCUUAUUUGUCUUUUUCCAUAGUAGGUGGAAGAUAAACUUUAGGAAUAUCUUCUUUUUGGUUGCAAUAAUUGCAAUGGUGCAAGUUGAAUAAGUCCUUCAAUUGNNN
rnacentral:lncRNA from 1 species